AGCUAAACUAUAAGGUAUUACCUUGUAAUUUGGCGGAUUGGCGCCAGAGUAUCCACGAUCGGACCGUAAUCCGGUGCAUCCAGGGAAAACGAAAUCAAAAAA
rnacentral:ncRNA from 28 species